CAGCGGCGGUGGACGUGGCGGCAUUUGGCUGGGACGAGCGGCAGCAGGCAGGUGUGUCCGGCGCCCGGUCCCACCACUGUUGCCGCCACCACCGUCAGGAGUUCUGCGUCGCUGCUCCUUGGACGCCGCGCUCGCUGCCACCUCCUCCGUCAUAGCUGUCAGGAGGCAGUGCUUGGCGCUGUCCCUUGGGGUGCCGGCCAGGGUGGUCCCAUCGCUAGAAGACCUCGGCCAGCUGGGGGCAGUACGGUUUGUCGCAGGCGGUCCGGCACGGCUCCCGGGACUCCAGGGCCUUGAACAAUACUGUGAUGAUGUACAACAGCACCAGCACCCAUGGUACUACGUGAGGGAAGGAGGAAGACUGCGAGAAGAAUGUGGAAGAGGAAGGAUGAGAGGAAGAUAUCAAGAUGGUGUGUAACAUGCUUACUGCUCAGCAUCAGAAUCGAACCAGCAAAAAUGAAUUCAAUAAACGAUGUAACAUGUA